CAGUCAAUCUAGCAAAGCAACCACAAAUCGAGGAGAAUAAAAAAGCAUUACAUAAACUGUCUGAGAAAGGCUGUGAGCUGCUGCGGAAAUUGAAGAAGAAUCGGAAAAAAUAGCUGAGAAAUUCCUAUCGGGAGAUACAGAAGUCGAUGAAUUCCUGGAUCAAUUCUUGACCCGAAGAAGGAUAAUGCAUUUACGAAAGGUGAAGGUAGACAAAAUGCGAGAGCUGAA